GACGAAGGGGGCUAGCGUUGUUCGGAAUUACUGGGCGUAAAGCGAGUGUAGGUGGUUGUCCAAGUUGGAUGUGAAAGCCUUGAGCUCAACUCAAGAAAUGCAUUCAGGACUGGGUGACUAGAGGACCGGAGAGGAUAGUGGAAUUCCCAGUGUAGUGGUGAAAUACGUAGAGAUUGGGAAGAACACCAGUGGCGAAGGCGGCUAUCUGGACGGUACUGACGCUGAGACGCGAAAGCGUGGGGAGCGAACAGG
rnacentral:rRNA from 1 species